CCCUCAGCAAAAAUACGAAGGCCCAAGGCCCAGUCCUUCAUCGAAGUCCCGCAGCAAACCCUAGAUGCAACCCAAGUCCCUCCGCAACGACGCCGUUCUAAACCCUCCCUUCUCCCACUUCUCCACCCCUCUCCCUCGGCAAGAAAAGCCGCCGCCGCCGCAUCCGCAGCAGCCGCAUCCGCAGUAGCCGAGCGAGAUGGUGUUUGUGAAGAACCAGAAGACCAGGGCCUACUCCAAGCGGUUCCAAGUGAAGUUCAAGAGAAGGAGACAGGGGAAGACCGAUUACAGGGCCAGGCUCAGGCUCACUAACCAUAAGGC